rnacentral:rRNA from 1 species
CCUACGGGAGGCAGCAGUGAGGAAUAUUGGUCAAUGGGCGCGAGCCUGAACCAGCCAAGCCGCGUGAAGGAGGACGGCCCUACGGGUUGUAAACUUCUUUUGUAAGGGAAUAAAGACAGGCACGCGUUCCUGUUUGUCUGUACAUUAUGAAUAAGGAUCGGCUAACUCCGUGCCAGCAGCCGCGGUAAUACGGAGGAUCCGAGCGUUAUCCGGAUUUAUUGGGUUUAAAGGGCGCGUAGAUGGUUGGAUAAGUCAGGUGUGAAAGCCCGGGGCUCAACCGUGGAAUUGCAGUUGAUACUGGCAGGCUUGAGUGCAGGUGAGGUAGGCGGAAUGCGCGGUGUAGCGGUGAAAUGCUUAGAUAUCACGAAGAACUCCGAUUGCGAAGGCAGCUUACUAACCUGCCACUGACAUUGAGGCACGAAAGCGUGGGUAUCAAACAGGAUUAGAUACCCUAGUAGUC